UACGUAGGGGGCAAGCGUUGUCCGGAUUUAUUGGGCGUAAAGAGCGUGUAGGCGGCCAGGUAGGUCCGUUGUGAAAACUGGAGGCUUAACCUUCAGACGUCGACCGAAACCAUCUGGCUAGAGUCCGGAAGAGGAGAGUGGAAUUCCUGGUGUAGCGGUGAAAUGCGCAGAUAUCAGGAAGAACACCCGUGGCGAAGGCGGCUCUCUGGGACGGUACUGACGCUGAGACGCGAAAGCGUGGGGAGCGAACAGG
rnacentral:rRNA from 1 species